AGAGCGAACGCUGGCGGCAGGCCUAACACAUGCAAGUCGAGCGCCCGUAGCAAUACGGGAGCGGCAGACGGGAUAGUAACACGUGGGAACGCGCCCUUCGGUUCGGAAUAACUCAGGGAAACUUGAGCUAAUACCGGAUACGCCCUUACGGGGAAAGAUUUAUUGCCGAAGGAACGGCCCGCGUCCGAUUAGCUAGUUGGUGAGGUAAUGGCUCACCAAGGCGACGAUCGGUAGCUGGUCUGAGAGGAUGACCAGCAUCACUGGGACUGAGACACGGCCCAGACUCCUACGGGAGGCAGCAGUGGGGAAUAUUGGACAAUGGGCGCAAGCCUGAUCCAGCCAUGCCGCGUGGAUGAUGAAGGCCUUAGGGUUGUAAAGUCCUUUAACGGGGAAGAUAAUGACGGUACCCGUAGAAUAAGCCCCGGCUAACUUCGCGCCAGCAGCCGC
rnacentral:rRNA from 1 species